rnacentral:rRNA from 1 species
UACGUAGGGGGCAAGCGUUGUCCGGAUUUAUUGGGCGUAAAGCGCGUGUAGGCGGCCAGGUAGGUCCGUUGUGAAAACUCGAGGCUCAACCUCGAGACGCCGGCGGAAACCAUCUGGCUAGAGUCCGGAAGAGGAGAGUGAAAUUCCCGGUGUAGCGGUGAAAUGCGCAGAUAUCGGGAAGAACACCCGUGGCGAAGGCGGCUCUCUGGGACGGUACUGACGCUGAGACGCGAAAGCGUGGGGAGCGAACAGG